rnacentral:rRNA from 1 species
GGUUAAGUUAUUAAGGGCGCAC